UAUUACAGUUGGACUGAAGGAAUUGUAUAACGUAUUCCGAGGCUCCUUGGUGGUGGAGAUCGACUAUGCAGUGGGGAAAUGAGCUAGGGGCUGAUUCUAACUGUCAAGAGGGACAAACAAUGGGCUGGCUCAUGAACUAGCCAAUGAUGCUAAAGCUCAUGGAGACCUUGUGGUUGCGUAUGGUGUCCCGGACCAACUCCAUGAUCAGCUCUGGAAGGAAAACAAUGCAGCCUUGACGUCGGCCUAAGUCUUGAUGUAAUCCUCAAAAAAGAUACUGCUUGCAGACAUGUUAUACAUAAACAUGCAUGUUGUAGGUCUGUUAAUUUUAAUUUUGAAUACUGAGAUCUAUUCAGAUGCUUUCCUUACUCUUAUGGCUAAAAAAAUCCAGCAGACAGUGACUGAAAUUUGUUAGUUUCACUCAACGUGCUGCUGCUU